rnacentral:piRNA from 1 species
GCCUUGUUGUUACCAUUGUUGGAGCCCAA